UAAAAAUAGAUUUUAUAAAAAAAUUUUCUCGAAUUAAAGUGAGCUAAGAGGUUAUAAAUUUCACUGUAGAAGAAUUGUUUAUAAUAACUUUUUAGGAGUUAAAUAUUAGUCGUUCUUUAAUAUAUCUAGUUUUUUUAGAAAUUGAUUUAAUCAAGCUGGAAAGUUAAGAUACUUUAUUGAUAAAGUAUUUCGUUUUUUUAGGUAAUAUCUAUAGGGAUAAGCUUUUAGAUAUAAAUUCAAAAUUAUUUGUUUUAAAGAUUUAUAGGAAUAGAAGUUUUCAUUGGUUGUAGUGUGUUAUAACAAAAUUUUUAUUAUAAUAAUUUUUUUAAAAAUUUAGGUUGGUUAUAUAAAUGGAGAAAUUAAUUUUAAUUUUCAAGGAAUAAUGAUUGAAUUAGUAUGUUUUUAUGUAAAAGUAAAUAAGUAAUGAAAGGUUAAUUUAAGGAAUUCGGCAAAGUUAUUUUCUGCCUGUUUAUUAAAGACAUGGCCUUUUGAGAAUAAUAUAAGGUCUGGCCUGCCCAAUGAUUAUUUUAAUGGCCGCGGUAUUUU
rnacentral:rRNA from 1 species